rnacentral:rRNA from 1 species
CCUACGGGUGGCAGCAGUGGGGAAUCUUCCGCAAUGGGCGAAAGCCUGACGGAGCAACGCCGCGUGAUCGAAUGAAGGCCUUCGGGUUGUAAAGAUCUGUUGACAGGGACGAAUAAGCAAUGCGAAUAGUUUUGUGUAUGACGGUACCUGUUUAGAAAGCUCCGGCUAACUACGUGCCAGCAGCCGCGGUAAUACGUAGGGGGCAAGUGUUAUCCGGAUUUACUGGGUGUAAAGGGAGCGUAGACGGCUGUGCAAGUCUGAAGUGAAAGCCCGUGGCUCAACCGCGGAACUGCUUUGGAAACUGUAUAGCGUGAGUACUGGAGAGGCAGGCGGAAUUCCUAGUGUAGCGGUGAAAUGCGUAGAUAUUAGGAGGAACACCAGUGGCGAAGGCGGCCUGCUGGACAGAAACUGACGUUGAGGCUCGAAAGCGUGGGGAGCAAACAGGAUUAGAUACCCUAGUAGUC